UGUGUGUUAGUGGAAGCGUCUGGAAAGGCGCGCGAUACAGGGUGACAGCCCCGUACACAAAAAUGCACAUGCUGUGAGCUCGAUGAGUAGGGCGGGACACGUGGUAUCCUGUCUGAAUAUGGGGGGACCAUCCUCCAAGGCUAAAUACUCCUGACUGACCGAUAGUGAACCAGUACCGUGAGGGAAAGGCGAAAAGAACCCCGGCGAGGGGAGUGAAAAAGAACCUGAAACCGUGUACGUACAAGCAGUGGGAGCACGCUUAGGCGUGUGACUGCGUACCUUUUGUAUAAUGGGUCAGCGACUUAUAUUCUGUAGCAAGGUUAACCGAAUAGGGGAGCCGAAGGGAAACCGAGUCUUAACUGGGCGUUAAGUUGCAGGGUAUAGACCCGAAACCCGGUGAUCUAGCCAUGGGCAGGUUGAAGGUUGGGUAACACUAACUGGAGGACCGAACCGACUAAUGUUGAAAAAUUAGCGGAUGACUUGUGGCUGGGGGUGAAAGGCCAAUCAAACCGGGAGAUAGCUGGUUCUCCCCGAAAGCUAUUUAGGUAGCGCCUCGUGAACUCAUCUCCGGGGGUAGAGCACUGUUUCGGCAAGGGGGUCAUCCCGACUUACCAACCCGAUGCAAACUGCGAAUACCGGAGAAUGUUAUCACGGGAGACACACGGCGGGUGCUAACGUCCGUCGUGAAGAGGGAAACAACCCAGACCGCCAGCUAAGGUCCCAAAGUCAUGGUUAAGUGGGAAACGAUGUGGGAAGGCCCAGACAGCCAGGAUGUUGGCUUAGAAGCAGCCAUCAUUUAAAGAAAGCGUAAUAGCUCACUGGUCGAGUCGGCCUGCGCGGAAGAUGUAACGGGGCUAAACCAUGCACCGAAGCUGCGGCAGCGACGCUUAUGCGUUGUUGGGUAGGGGAGCGUUCUGUAAGCCUG
rnacentral:rRNA from 1 species